rnacentral:lncRNA from 10 species
CCAUUUACAUUUAAGGUUAACAUUGUUAUGUGUGAUUUUGAUCCUGUCAUCAUGAUGCUAGCUGGUUAUUUUGCACAUUAGUUGAUGCACUUUCUUCAUGAUGUCAUUGGUUUUUAUAUUUUGGUAUGUUUUUGCAGUGGCUAAUACCAGUUUCUCCUUUCCAUAUUUAGUGCUUCCUUCAGGAGCUCUUAUAAGGCAGGCCUGGUGGUGACAAAAUUCCUCAGGAUUUGCUUGUCUGGAAAGGAUUUUAUUACUCCUUUGCUUAUGAAGCUUAGUUUGGCUGGAUAUGAAAUUCUGGGUUGAAAAUUCUUUUCUCUAGGAAUGUUGAAUAUUGUCCCCCACUCUCUUCUGGCUUGCAAGGUUUCUGCAGAGAGAUCCGCUGUUACUCUGAUGGGCUUCCCUCUGUGGGUAACCUGACCUUUCUCUCUGGCUGCCCUUAACAUUUUUUCCUUCGUUUCAACCUUGGUGAAUCUGACAAGUAUGUGUCUUGGGGUUGCUCUUCUCGAGGAUUAUCUUAGUGGUGUUCUCUGUAUUUCCCAGAUUUGAAUGUUGGCCUGUCUUGCUAGGUUGGGGAAGUUCUCCUGGAUAAUAUCCUGAAGUAUGUUUUCCUACUUGUUUCCAUUCUCCCCGUCACUUUCAGGUACACUGAUCAAUCGUAGGUUUGGUCUUUUCACAUAGUCCCAUAUUUCUUGGAAGCUUUGUUUGUUCCUUUUCAUUCUUUUUUCUCUAAUCCUGUGUUCAUGCUUCAUUUCAUUAAGUUGAUCUUCAAUCUCUGAUAUCCUUUCUUCCGCUUGACUGAUUUGGCUAUUGAUACUUGUGUAUGCUUCACGAAGUUCUCAUGCUGUGUUUGUCAGCUACAUCAGGUCAUUUAUGUUCUUCUCUAAACCAGUUAUUCUAGUUAGCAGUUCCUGUAACCUUUUAUCAAGGUUCUUAGCCUCCUUGCAUUGGGUUAGAAUAUGCUCCUUUAACUCAGAGGAGUUUGUUAUUACCCACCUUCUGAAGCCUACUUCUGUCAGUUUAUCAAACUCAUUCUCUAUCUGGUUUUCUUCCCUUGCUGGCAAGGAGUUGUGAGUUGUGAUCCUUUGGAGGAGAAGAGGAAUUCUGGUUUCUGGAAUUUUCAGCAUUUUUGCACUGGUUUUUCCUCAUCUUCAUGGAUUUAUCUACCUUUGGGGCACCCACUAGAUACCAGCCGGAGCUCUCCUGUAUGAGGUGUCUGUUGACCCCUGCUGGGAGGUGUCUCCUGGUCAGGAGGCACAGG